GUACUUGCUUCGGCAGAAAAAAGGCAGUACAUAUACUAAAAUUGGAACGAUAUAGAGAAGAUUAGCAUGGCCCCUGCGCACGGAUGACACGCAAAAUCGUGAAGCGUUCCACAUUUUU
rfam:Bombyx mori DNA, contig: Bm_scaf42_contig23894, strain: p50T/Dazao, build 2, whole genome shotgun sequence.